UGGCGACCAUGUUUGUUGAUAGAUCAUAACUUCGGAUACAAUUUACAAACUAGAUACCCUAAAGAACAUUCAGUUAAAGUUUGGAAGUAUUUGGCCCAGUAGUUUCAGAGGAGAAGAUUUUUGUAAAAGAUUACUAAGAUUUACGAAAAAUGGUUAAAAAUUGACUAUAAAGGGCAAUAACUCCUAAAGGGGUCAACUGACCAUUUCCGUCAUGGUGACUUAUUUGUAAAUCUUACUUUGCUGAACAUUAUUCCUGUUUACAGUUUAUCUCUAUCUAUAAUAAUAUUCAAGAUAA
rnacentral:lncRNA from 1 species